CUUCUACCCGGGGGCUUCAGUGCAUCUGGCUUUAUCUCUGGGGUGCUUCCAUACAAAGGGGACAGAAGAAACGAUGGAAGGCCUCAGCACUGCAGGAGGGGAGACGGAUGUCAUCUACAAUCACACAAUACAUGGGAGGUCACAGAACGCCAGGGUGACGUAACAGUUCAAACCAUGGAAAGGUAACAGAGCCCUUGGCACGUCUCAACAUGUGGUGACACAGCUAAUAACCUGUGAUGCACACAUGGGAGCAAAUGCAUAGAAAAACUUGUCAAUGACACGGCAAAGUAAAACCCAAAUGAAGCCAGGUGAAAGAAUGGGCUGCAGCGCAGGCAAAACUGCACCACGUUACAGACUGCUCGCCUGGGAUGGAACGGUGGGGAGGUGCGCAGACGGAUGGACAAGCGCCUGGCAAAAUGGAUUUGGUUUCCUAGACCGCUAAUGCAACCAACAGUUCCCUCCUCACAGGGUCGCUAUAACGAGGUAACAUAAACAGCACUUAGAAGACGGCCUGACCCAGAAUAACACUAAUGUUCAUAUGGCUGCGACUCUCAGACCAAAAUCAAUGGCCGGUAUCUACUGAAACUUCAGCAAGACGAAACCACGGGAAUGGCGCUCCGUUGAGUAAAGCAACGCACAGCACAUCACAUCACAUCCUCCGUAGCGGGAGGCUCUGGCCUCACCCGAGCGGCACUUCCCGGAAGAGCCCAGGAUAUUCGGGGACCGGCACCGGAGAGCGGCCCAGGCCCCCUGGCGCCCAGCUGGCCGCCCUGUUGCAGCUCUCAUGCCAAGACCUGCGCCUAACGGCAGGGAUUCCGGCGGUCAUCAUUUAUUCUUGGCGCUAAGCUGCCGCUUCUCUUUUCUAUCACCACAGAGUAACGCAGACCCCAUCGUUUCCUUCCAUUCUGAGCCAACCACUCCAGCAGCCACCGGGGCGCCAGGUUAUGCUGGGGCUGCACCACCGGAUCCCAGGCUUUUGAAGCCACGCCCGGGCGCGGAGGAUGGGCAGGAUUUGCCCCGUGAACUCUCGCGCACGCAGGCUCCGCGCGAGGCCCGGGCGCCCGAGCGGGGAUUCCCUCCCCUAUCACCAGCUCUAGGGUGGUGUCCCCCGGCUGUGGAGCCCAGACCCCGGCCGUCCAGCAGCGUAUAGACGAGCCCCUGUCUGCGGCGUAACUGCACCGCGCUGGGGAUCCGCCUCCUACCGCCAGGGUGAGGGUGCCGUCCUCUAGCGUAUGCUACGCAGGCGCGCCCUGCCCUCCCGGUCACGUGCUAGUGCUUGGUCACGUGACCACGCCUACAGCCGAAGAGGAUGGAAAAAUGCCGCCCUGUUCCUGAACAGGAAGCGGAAGCAGGAAGGAACUGAGAACACCGGCAUCUGCUGCCGCCCUGAAUCAGCGUUAGCAUGUGGAGGUAACCUCAGCCCCCAGUUUUUGAAGAAGGUAAUUCAGAUUCAGACACAGGAAUUAUGGUGAGGGUAGAAAUGGACUGGAAGGUUCGUUCCCCUUGCCCACCAAGACUCCAGAGCAGGUGGGUUCCUGAUAUCUACUCUGCAUGAAGCCCUGGGCUUUCCGGACCUCCCUACUUUUCCUUAGAAUUCACAGCACAGCUGAGCCAAAAUGUAUUCCUGCCAAAACGGGCAUUUCCCGAAAGAAAGUAUUGUUUUAGA
rnacentral:lncRNA from 1 species